rnacentral:rRNA from 1 species
UAGUAACUGCGAGUGAAGCGGGAAAAGCUCAAAUUUAAAAUCUGGCGGUCCCUGUGGCCGUCCGAGUUGUAAUUUAGAGAAGCGUUAUCCGCGCUGGACCGUACACAAGUCUCCUGGAAUGGAGCGUCAUAGAGGGUGAGAAUCCCGUCUUUGGUACGGACUGCCAGGGCAUUGUGAUACGCUCUCAAAGAGUCGAGUUGUUUGGGAAUGCAGCUCAAAAUGGGUGGUAAAUUCCAUCUAAAGCUAAAUAUUGAGGAGAGACCGAUAGCGAACAAGUACCGUGAGGGAAAGAUGAAAAGAACUUUGGAAAGAGAGUUAAACAGUACGUGAAAUUGCUGAAAGGGAAACGCUUGAAGUCAGUCGCGUCGUUCAGGACUCAGCCUUGCUUUUUGCUUGGUGUACUUCUUGUUCGACGGGUCAACAUCAAUUUUGGUCGGUGGAUAAAGGCUUAGAGAAUGUGGCAUCUUCGGAUGUGUUAUAGCUCUGGGUUGCAUACAUCGGCUGGGAUUGAGGAACUCAGCACGCCGCAAGGCCGGGUACUUGUACCACGUACGUGCUUAGGAUGUUGGCAUAAUGGCUUUAAUCGACCCGUCUUGAAACACGGACCAAGGAGUCUAACAUGCCUGCGAGUGUUUGGGUGGAAAACCCGAGCGCGUAAUGAAAGUGAAAGUUGAGAUCCCUGUCGUGGGGAGCAUCGACGCCCGGAGCAGACCUUUUGUGACGCAUCCGCGGUAGAGCAUGUAUGUUGGGACCCGAAAGAUGGUGAACUAUGCCUGAAUAGGGUGAAGCCAGAGGAAACUCUGGUGGAGGCUCGUAGCGAUUCUGACGUGCAAAUCGAUCGUC